rnacentral:lncRNA from 1 species
GUUUAUUUCUAGAGCUUUCCGUCUAAGGCUUUUGAACUUCAGCCAACCAUGAAACCACUGAAACCUCAGGAAGAAAAAUUUCGGGAGCGUGGGAGGCUGUUGUACCGUCACCAUAUUUCACAAAUCAUUGACUUACUUCACAGGCAAGUUUCGUUUGCUCAAAGCACUGCUUUAUGACUGUCACCUUCUCCAUGGAGACCCCCCACUUCUCAUCAACAGCUGCCCCUCCUCCACCCACCCACUCUCCCACUGCUAUUUGGAGUUGAAAGCUGUUCACGUUUCUAAAACCCGAUUUCUUGA